GACGAACGCUGGCGGCGUGCCUAAUACAUGCAAGUCGAACGCAGUGGGGACGGGUGAGUAACACGUGGGUAACCUCCCAUCAGAGGGGAUAACACUUGGAAACAGGUGCUAAACCGAUACUGAUGGAUGGACCCGCGGUGCAUUAGCUAGUAGGUGGGGUAACGGCUCACCUAGGAGACGAUCCCUAGCCUGUAUGAGAGGAUGACCGGCCACACUGGAACUGAGAACCGGUCCAGACUCCUACGGGAGGCAGCAGUGGGGAAUAUUGGACAAUGGGCGCAAGCCUGAUGCAGCCAUGCCGCGUGUAUGAAGAAGGUCUUCGGGUUGUAAAGCACUUUCAGCGAGGAGGCGUUACUCGCAGAAGAAGCACCGGCUAACUCCGUGCCAGCAGCCGCGGUAAUAC
rnacentral:rRNA from 1 species